rnacentral:tRNA from 1 species
GCCUUCAUAGUGUAAUUGGGAACAUAUCUGGCUGGCAAUCGGAAGGUCUGAAGCUCGAAUCUCGGCGAGGGCA